rnacentral:rRNA from 1 species
UACGUAGGGUGCGAGCGUUAAUCGGAAUUACUGGGCGUAAAGCGUGCGUAGGCGGUUCGUUAAGUUCGUCGUGAAAGCCCCGGGCUCAACCUGGGAAUGGCGAUGGAAACUGGCGGGCUGGAGUAUGGCAGAGGGGGGUGGAAUUCCGCGUGUAGCAGUGAAAUGCGUAGAGAUGCGGAGGAACACCGAUGGCGAAGGCAGCCCCCUGGGCCAAUACUGACGCUCAGGCACGAAAGCGUGGGGAGCAAACGGG